GUGUCAGCCGCCGCGGUAAGACGGAGGGUGCAAGCGUUGUUCGGAAUUACUGGGCGUAAAGCGCGUGUAGGCGGCUAGCUAAGUCUGAUGUGAAAGCCCGGGGCUCACCCCCGGAAGUGCAUUGGAAACUGGCGAGCUCGAGUCCCGGAGAGGAGGGUGGAAUUCCUGGUGUAGCGGUGAAAUGCGUAGAUAUCAGGAGGAACACCGGUGGCGAAGGCGGCCCUCUGGACGGUGACUGACGCUGAGACGCGAAAGCGUGGGGAGCAAACAGGAUUAGAUACCCCGGUAGUCC
rnacentral:rRNA from 1 species